UCUGAAUAUGGCUGGCUUAUCCGGAGUUCUUUACCAUUCCACACUGCUCCAUUUGUCCACACAAUAUAGACUCCUGAAGGGGGAGGAAGAAACUAAAGAGAGGAAGAUGCCAUGUUCUGUUUGCUAAAAGCUUGAAUAUUGUGUGGGCAUAUUGUGAAGAUGAUUGGCAGAUGACGGAGAGAUUAUGUGAGUAUCUCUGUCCACUGGCAACAAUAAAUGCAGCGGCAAAGCUCUGUGGAGGGGACU
rnacentral:lncRNA from 1 species